GUGUCAGCCGCCGCGGUAACACGGGGGGAGCAAGCGUUGUUCGGAAUCACUGGGCGUAAAGGGCGUGUAGGCGGUUGGGUAAGUGGGAUGUGAAAUGCCUCGGCUCACCCGAGGAUCUGCAUCCCAAACUGCCUGACUUGAGUAUGGGAGAGGAUGAGGGAAUUCCUGGUGUAGCGGUGAAAUGCGUAGAUAUCAGGAGGAACACCGGUGGCGAAGGCGCUCAUCUGGCCCAAUACUGACGCUGAGGCGCGAAAGCUAGGGGAGCAAACGGGAUUAGAAACCCCAGUAGUCC
rnacentral:rRNA from 1 species